AGACCUGCGACUGGCCCAGUCGCCCCUGGGGCCCUUUGCCACUCCCUUGGCAAGGAGAGCCGAGACCUCAGUUCCCGGCGGCUCUUGCGGGGCACAGGUGAGCCCUGGCUGCGCGCGCGGCCCCUCCUCCCCGGCGCCUCCCAGAUGGGGGCUCCGGAGGUGGCGCCCAGGCUCUGAGCUACCCUAGGUCUGCAGACUAGCGGGCAUUGGCCAGAGACAUGGCCCAGCCACUGGCCUUCAUCCUCGAUGUCCCUGAGACCCCAGGGGACCAGGGCCAGGGCCCCAGCCCCUAUGAUGAAAGCGAAGUGCACGACUCCUUCCAGCAGCUCAUCCAGGAGCAGAGCCAGUGCACGGCCCAGGAGGGGCUGGAGCUGCAGCAGAGAGAGCGGGAGGUGACAGGAAGUAGCCAGCAGACACUCUGGCGGCCCGAGGGCACCCAGAGCACGGCCACACUCCGCAUCCUGGCCAGCAUGCCCAGCCGCACCAUUGGUGAGUGGGACCCUCAGCCUCGGCCUCGGCCCCGGCCCCGAGUUGACCCCAGUCCCUGGGGCUGGGCUGGGCUUCCUGCCAGGCAUCUCCCUGGGUAGUGGCUGCUCCCGUAGCUCAGAGCCAGGCCCAGGGCGGGCUCCUAGCCCAUCCCAUCUGCUGCCUGGGGGCCCAGCACAGCCCCAUGUGGCCCUCGCUGGGCUCCAAAAAUGACUCCAGAGUCAUCACGGGGUAAAAAUAGGCUUUCGGAAUGCAGUGGUGCCUGAAGUCUUUGUUGAAAGGAUUUUCCUGGGUCCUGGGAAGGGGUGAGGGACGCAGAGGCCUGUGGUGAGCCCAUCCUGAGGGGAGGGAGGCCUG
rnacentral:lncRNA from 1 species